rnacentral:rRNA from 1 species
AUUGAACGCUGGCGGCAGGCCUAACACAUGCAAGUCGAGCGGAUGAAGGGAGCUUGCUCCUGGAUUCAGCGGCGGACGGGUGAGUAAUGCCUAGGCAUCUGUCUGGUAGUGGGGGAUAACGUCCGGAAACGGGCGCUAAUCCCGCAUACGUCCUGAGGGAGAAAGUGGGGGAUCUUCGGACCUCCCGCUUUCAGAUGUGCCUAGGUCGGAUUCGCUAGUUGGUGGGGUAAAGGCCUGCCAAGGCGGCGUUCCGUAACGGGUCUGAGAGGAUGAUCAGUCACACUGGAACUGAGACACGGUCCAGACUCCUACGGGAGGCAGCAGUGGGGAAUAUUGGACGAUGGGCGAAAGCCGGAUCCAGCCAUGCCGCGUGUGUGAAGAAGGUCUUCGGAUGGGAGAGCACUUUAAGUUGGGAGGAAGGGCAGUAAGUUAAUACCUUGCUGUUUUGACGGUACCAACAGAAUAAGCACCGGCUAACUUCGUG